rnacentral:rRNA from 1 species
CGCGGGAUUGGGGUGCAGCAGGCGCGAAACCUUUGCAAUAAGCGAAAGCUUGACAGGGCUAUCCCGAGUGCCAUCCGCUAAGGAAGGCUUUUACCCAGUCUAGAAAGCUGGGGGAAUAAGGAGAGGGCAAGUCUGGUGUCAGCCGCCGCGGUAAUACCAGCUCUCCGAGUGGUGUGGAUGAUUAUUGGGCCUAAAGCAUCCGUAGCUGGCUAGGCCAGUCCCCUGUUAAAUCCACCGAAUCAAUCGUUGGAUUGCGGGGGAUACUGCUUGGCUAGGGGACGAGAGAGGCAGACGGUAUUUCCGGGGUAGGGGUGAAAUCCUAUAAUCCCGGGAAGACCACCAGUGGCGAAGGCUGUCUGCUAGAACGCGCCCGACGGUGAGGGAUGAAAGCUGGGGGAGCGAACCGGAUUAGAUACCCGGGUAGUCCCAGCUGUAAACGAUGCAGGCUAGGUGUUUGAACGGCCACGUGCCGUUCUAGUGCCGCAGGGAAGCUGUUAAGCCUGCCGCCUGGGGAGUACGAUCGCAAGAUUGAAACUUAAAGGAAUUGGCGGGGGAGCACCACAAGGGGUGAAGCUUGCGGUUUAAUUGGAGUCAACGCCGGAAAUCUCACCGGGAGCGACAGCAGGUUGAAAGCCAGAUUAAAGGUCUUGCUAGACGAGCUGAGAGGAGGUGCAUGGCCGUCGCCAGUUCGUGCCGUGAGGUGUCCUGUUAAGUCAGGCAACGAUCGAGACCCGCGUCCUCUGUUGCAACUAGCUUUGUGCUGGGCACACUGAGGAGACCGCCACUGAUAAAGUGGAGGAAGGAGCGGGCCACGGCAGGUCAGUAUGCCCCGAAUCUCCCGGGCCACACGCGAGCUGCAAUGGCAGGUACAAUGGGUUCCGACCUCGAAAGGGGAAGGCAAUCUCGAAAGCCUGCCGUAGUUGGGAUCGAGGGUUGUAACCCAUCCUCGUGAACAUGGAAUCCCUAGUAAUCGCGUGUCAUCAGCGCGCGGUGAAUACGUCCCUGCUCCUUUCACGAAUUCGCCGAAUCACUAGU